GUGCAAAGGAAAUGAAGGGAGAAGCAGAAGGAACGGAAAAAGGUUCCUAAACUGAGCUUGGAAGGAAGAGGAAAGAGCUGCAGAGGCGGAGACUCUGACCCCAAAGCGAUCGAGGGCCCUCCCCUGGCUUCCGUGUCCCUGUGGCAGGCGGUGGUGGUCGAAAUCUCUGCCCCUCAGAGUCCUGGGGAGGAUGGAUGGAACAGGAGGAGCAUCAUGAGAAGGCUUCCUGUAAACUACGGAGGGUGAGGGGACGGAGCGUGAGGGAACGUCGUGAGAUGGUGCUCGUGGAAGCCAGCAGAGGGUGUAGGGUCUCCUGGAGCCACAUCUCUGGAGUUACAUGAAGUUGUGGACCUCUCAACAUGGGUUCUGGGAACUGAACCCAGGUCCUCUGGAAGGACAUCGAGUGCUCUUAACCACUGAGCCAUCUCUGCAGCCUAACCCCAUCCCUUGGAGGCUGAAGCAAAGCAAGUUCAAUGACCGCGACCUGGCUCUUGUUUGGGCCUAAGGAAAAGCCGACUGUAAGCCGGGAAGCAUCUCUGGCAAGAACAAGGAAGGAUUAAGCACGUCUGUGGUUGUGCGCAGGGAUCACAAGGUGCUCCUGCAGUGGGAAGAGCCACCACUAGGGGCGCUCCAAGUCUUGUAUUUUCUACCUUGAAAACUCGUUUCCCUGUGGCUGCCCUCCAAAUCCAACGGAGAUGAAUGGCUUUUAGUUUACCUAGCUGAUUUAAUAAACUUUAAAAAUAAAUGUACGAAUG
rnacentral:lncRNA from 1 species